UCUUAUAAAGAUCAAAACAGGUAAAAGUUGGAACAAUACAGAGAAGAUUAGCAUGGCCAAUGUGGAAGGAUGACACACAAAUUGAGAAAUGAUCCACAAUUUUUU